UGGGGGAUAUUGCACAAUGGGCGAAAGCCUGAUGCAGCGACGCCGCGUGGGGGAUGAAGGCCUUCGGGUUGUAAACUUCUUUUGCUCUGAACAAGGCAUGCUAAUGGGUGUGUGGAGUGUAGGGGUUGAUUAGCGCCGGCUAACUACGUGCCAGCAGCCGCGGUAAUACGUAGGGCGCGAGCGUUGUCCGGAAUUAUUGGGCGUAAAGGGCUUGUAGGUGGCUGGUGGCGUCUGUCGUGAAAGCUCAUGGCUUAACUGUGGGUUUGCGGUGGGUACGGGCUGGCUUGAGUGCAGUAGGGGAGGCUGGAAUUCCUGGUGUAGCGGUGGAAUGCGCAGAUAUCAGGAGGAAUACCGGUGGCGAAGGCGGGUCUCUGGGCUGUUACUGACACUGAGGAGCGAAAGCAUGGGGAGCGAACAGG
rnacentral:rRNA from 1 species